AGACCCGAAACCCGGUGAUCUAGCCAUGGGCAGGUUGAAGGUUGGGUAACACUAACUGGAGGACCGAACCGACUAAUGUUGAAAAAUUAGCGGAUGACCUGUGGCUGGGGGUGAAAGGCCAAUCAAACCGGGAGAUAGCUGGUUCUCCCCGAAAGCUAUUUAGGUAGCGCCUCGUGAAUUCAUCUCCGGGGGUAGAGCACUGUUUCGGCUAGGGGGCCAUCCCGGCUUACCAACCCGAUGCAAACUGCGAAUACCGGAGAAUGUUAUCACGGGAGACACACGGCGGGUGCUAACGUCCGUCGUGAAGAGGGAAACAACCCAGACCGCCAGCUAAGGUCCCAAAGUCAUGGUUAAGUGGGAAACGAUGUGGGAAGGCCCAGACAGCCAGGAUGUUGGCUUAGAAGCAGCCAUCAUUUAAAGAAAGCGUAAUAGCUCACUGGUCGAGUCGGCCUGCGCGGAAGAUGUAACGGGGCUAAAUCAUGCACCGAAGCUGCGGCAGCGACACUGUGUGUUGUUGGGUAGGGGAGCGUUCUGUAAGCCUGUGAAGGUGGCCUGUGAGGGUUGCUGGAGGUAUCAGAAGU
rnacentral:rRNA from 1 species